CCCCGCCCCAAGGACUCUCUUUGUUCCGGAGUCAACCGGCCUCGGUCCUGGGAUCGCUGAUUCCACGGAGGAGAGCCAUACCUGGGCGUCUCCACCCCCCACCCCACUGUCUCUGGAGACCAAGGCCGGCGCCGGGGGAGGCGGGUGUGCGGGCGCGCGAGCCGAGCCCUUUGUUCAGGAGAACAUUCCUCAGCGCCAGCCUCCCCACCUGGAGAGCCUGUGGUUCCUGUUUCAGGCUUUGCCUUGGAGAAACUCUCGCCGAGUAUGCAGCUCUCAAGCCUGGCUUCUGGCGCAUCCUACUUCAUGGCCUUCAACGGGUCCUUUGACCUCCCUGAACCUCAAUUUUCUCACUUGUAGAAUGGGAACCAAAAUUCUGACGUCGAAUGAUCGCUGUGAAAUUAAAUUAAAUGCCAAAACACAAAUGUAGAGUAUCUGCAGGCAUAAGGUGAAUGUUAGAUACUUGCGUUUGGAAGACCUUCACCGAAAGAAGCUAACAUUUUUGUAUUGAGUUCACCCUACUCCCCCAUCCCGCUUUGUAUGGGCAAUUUGUAGUCCUCCCAAAUCUUUGAAAUCUCACUUUCUUAGUAAAGACUUUCCCUGAUUUCUGGGGCACACCCUCAUGGAGUCACCCUCUGGCAUAUUUCCAUAGCAUGCUGUAACGUCUAUUAAAAUAUUUGCAGUUACUUUUUUUUUAAUUGAGACUUAAUUUGCAUUCAGCGAAAUACACACAACUUGGCAGGGCGCGGUGGCUCGCGCCUGUAAUCCCAGCACUUCGGGAGGCCGAGGCGGGCAGAUCACCUGAGGUCAGGAGUUUUGAGACCAGCCUGGCCAACAUGGCGAAACCCCAUCUUUACUAAAAAUACAAAAAUUAGCCGGGCCUGGUGGUGCGUACCUCUAAUCCCAGCUACUCAGGAGGCUGAGACAGGAGAAUCACUUGAAUCCA
rnacentral:lncRNA from 10 species